rnacentral:rRNA from 1 species
UACGGAAGGCAGCAGUGGGGAAUAUUGCACAAUGGGCGAAAGCCUGAUGCAGCUAUGCCGCGUGUAUGAAGAAGGCCUUAGGGUUGUAAAGUACUUUCAUCGGGGAGGAAAAAACAAAACUAAUAAUUUUAUUUCUUGACGUUACCCGAAAAAGAAGCACCGGCUAACUCCGUGCCAGCAGCCGCGGUAAUACGGAGGGUGCUAGCGUUAAUCAGAAUUACUGGGCGUAAAGAGCACGUAGGUGGUUUUUUAAGUCAGAUGUGAAAUCCCUGGGCUUAACCUAGGAACUGCAUUUUGAAACUGAAAUACUAGAGUAUCGUAGAGGGAGGUAGAAUUCUAGGUGUAGCGGUGAAAUGCGUAGAUAUCUGGAGGAAUACCUGUGGCGAAAGCGGCCUCCUAAACGAAUACUGACACUGAGGUGCGAAAGCGUGGGGAGCAAACAGAAUUAGAUACC